rnacentral:rRNA from 1 species
UCUCCUGGGAAACGGGUGGUAAUGCCGGAUGCUCCAUCACACCGCAUGGUGUGUUGGGAAAGCCUUUGCGGCAUGGGAUGGGGUCGCGUCCUAUCAGCUUGAUGGCGGGGUAACGGCCCACCAUGGCUUCGACGGGUAGCCGGCCUGAGAGGGCGACCGGCCACAUUGGGACUGAGAUACGGCCCAGACUCCUACGGGAGGCAGCAGUGGGGAAUAUUGCACAAUGGGCGCAAGCCUGAUGCAGCGACGCCGCGUGAGGGAUGGAGGCCUUCGGGUUGUAAACCUCUUUUGUUAGGGAGCAAGGCAUUUUGUGUUGAGUGUACCUUUCGAAUAAGCACCGGCUAACUACGUGCCAGCAGCCGCGGUAAUACGUAGGGUGCAAGCGUUAUCCGGAAUUAUUGGGCGUAAAGGGCUCGUAGGCGGUUCGUCGCGUCCGGUGUGAAAGUCCAUCGCUUAACGGUGGAUCCGCGCCGGGUACGGGCGGGCUUGAGUGCGGUAGGGGAGACUGGAAUUCCCGGUGUAACGGUGGAAUGUGUAGAUAUCGGGAAGAACACCA